UGCAUAGGUAGCUCAACUGGAUAGAGCAACAGCCUUCUAAGCUGUGGGUUGCAGGUUCAAGUCCUGUCCUGUGCGU
rnacentral:tRNA from 1 species